rnacentral:rRNA from 1 species
ACGAACGCUGGCGGCGUGCUUAACACAUGCAAGUCGAACGGAAAGGCCUUUUCGGAGGUACUCGAGUGGCGAACGGGUGAGUAACACGUGGGUGAUCUGCCCUGCACUCUGGGAUAAGCCUGGGAAACUGGGUCUAAUACCGGAUAGGACCGCACUUUAGUGUGUGUGGUGGAAAGUUUUUUCGGUGUAGGAUGAGCCCGCGGCCUAUCAGCUUGUUGGUGGGGUAAUGGCCUACCAAGGCGGCGACGGGUAGCCGGACUGAGAGGUUGGUCGGCCACAUUGGGACUGAGAUACGGCCCAGACUCCUACGGGAGGCAGCAGUGGGGAAUAUUGCACAAUGGGCGCAAGCCUGAUGCAGCGACGCCGCGUGGGGGAUGACGGCCUUCGGGUUGUAAACUCCCUUCGCCAGGGACGAAGCGUUUUGUGACGGUACCUGGAGAAGAAGCACCGGCUAACUACGUG